CUCCACGAGAACUCAAAAGUCAUCAUCUUAAUGGCUCCCUGAUAUCACCUCUCAACCACUACUUCUGGCAAAAUGCCAGGGGCCAUUCCGACUCGGCUGUUGAGUUAUGUAAUCCCCCUAAGUAACACUUUCUAGAAAGCGAACAAAGAAGAUGGCAGCUUUUUCUCAUGGUCCUUCAAACUUCUUCCUAUAUUCAAAAUAUGACUCAAGUCUUCAAAAUCAAAGCAUUUAUUCAUUCAUUCUCUACUCAAAACUCAUGGAACACCUUCAGCUGAGCCCAUGAACCUCAUACUGGACCUAUCUACUGAAGAUAAAAUGAGGUGAGGACACUACACACAGCUCAGGAAAUCUGUGCACAUGACACUGGUCAUCAAAGCUUCAACUUUUGGCCUGGCAAAGAGUGUGUAAAACUGCAGAAAUCUUCUCUUCCUUGUCUACAAUGGAGUGAUUCUGAAUAUGAGUAUUGUCUUCCAGGAGGAAGAGUU